UCAGGCCUGCCAUGUGUUCAGACCUA
rnacentral:piRNA from 1 species